rnacentral:rRNA from 1 species
AUAGCGGAGGAAAAGAAACCAACCGGGAUUGCCUUAGUAACGGCGAGUGAAGCGGCAAAAGCUCAAAUUUGAAAUCUGGUACCUUCGGUGCCCGAGUUGUAAUUUGGAGAGGGCAACUUUGGGGCCGUUCCUUGUCUAUGUUCCUUGGAACAGGACGUCAUAGAGGGUGAGAAUCCCGUGUGGCGAGGAGUGCGGUUCUUUGUAAAGUGCCUUCGAAGAGUCGAGUUGUUUGGGAAUGCAGCUCUAAGUGGGUGGUAAAUUCCAUCUAAAGCUAAAUAUUGGCGAGAGACCGAUAGCGAACAAGUACAGUGAUGGAAAGAUGAAAAGAACUUUGAAAAGAGAGUGAAAAAGUACGUGAAAUUGUUGAAAGGGAAGGGCAUUUGAUCAGACAUGGUGUUUUGUGCCCUCUGCUCCUUGUGGGUAGGGGAAUCUCGCAUUUCACUGGGCCAGCAUCAGUUUUGGUGGCAGGAUAAAUCCAUAGGAAUGUAGCUUGCCUCGGUAAGUAUUAUAGCCUGUGGGAAUACUGCCAGCUGGGACUGAGGACUGCGACGUAAGUCAAGGAUGCUGGCAUAAUGGUUAUAUGCCGCCCGUCUUGAACCACCGGGAACCAAAA